AUUGAACGCUGGCGGCAGGCCUAACACAUGCAAGUCGAGCGAGCGGCGGACGGGUGAGUAAUGUCUGGGAAACUGCCUGAUGGAGGGGGAUAACUACUGGAAACGGUAGCUAAUACCGCAUACCAUCAGAUGUGCCCAGAUGGGAUUGGCUCGUAGGUGGGGUAACGGCUCACCUAGGCGACGAUCCCUAGCUGGUCUGAGAGGAUGACCAGCCACACUGGAACUGAGACACGGUCCAGACUCCGACGGGAGGCAGCAGUGGGGAAUAUUGCACAAUGGGCGCAAGCCUGAUGCAGCCAUGCCGCGUGUGUGAAGAAGGCCUUCGGAUUGUAAAGCACUUUCAGCGGGGAGGCGUUACCCGCAGAAGAAGCACCGGCUAACUCCGUGCCAGCCGCCGCGGUAAUAC
rnacentral:rRNA from 1 species